rnacentral:rRNA from 1 species
UCUUGCGCAAUGGGCGAAAGCCUGACGCAGCGACGCCGCGUGAGUGAUGAAGGCCUUCGGGUUGUAAAGCUCUGUGGGGAGAGACGAAUAAGUAGAAGCUAAUACCUUCUAUGAUGACGGUAUCUCCUUAGCAAGCACCGGCUAACUCUGUGCCAGCAGCCGCGGUAAGACAGAGGGUGCAAACGUUGUUCGGAAUUACUGGGCGUAAAGCGAGUGUAGGCGGUCUGCUAAGUCGGGUGUGAAAGCCCCGGGCUCAACCCGGGAAGUGCACUCGAAACUGGCAGGCUAGAGUACUGGAGAGGUUGGUGGAAUUCUCGGUGUAGAGGUGAAAUUCGUAGAUAUCGAGAGGAACACCGGUGGCGAAGGCGGCCAACUGGACAGAUACUGACGCUGAGACUCGAAAGCGUGGGGAGCAAACA